rnacentral:rRNA from 1 species
GAUGAACGCUGGCGGCGUGCUUAACACAUGCAAGUCGAACGGAAAGGCUCCUGCUUGCAGGGGUACUCGAGUGGCGAACGGGUGAGUAACACGUGGGUGAUCUGCCCUGCACUUCGGGAUAAGCCGGGGAAACUGGGUCUAAUACCGGAUAGGACCACAUUUUGGAUGGUGUGGUGGAAAGUUUUUCGGUGUGGGAUGAGCUCGCGGCCUAUCAGCUUGUUGGUGGGGUAAUGGCCUACCAAGGCGUCGACGGGUAGCCGGCCUGAGAGGGUGUACGGCCACAUUGGGACUGAGAUACGGCCCAGACUCCUACGGGAGGCAGCAGUGGGGAAUAUUGCACAAUGGGCGCAAGCCUGAUGCAGCGACGCCGCGUGGGGGAUGGCGGCCUUCGGGUUGUAAACUCCCUUCGCUAGGGACGAAGCGCAAGUGACGGUACCUGGAGAAGAAGCACCGGCUAACUACGUG